GGAGGACAGGCAGUCAGCGAAUACCGGGCAAUGGGGGGAACCGGGACCCAUCCAUGCCGAGUGAAGGAUGAAGUAUUUCGGUAUGUAACUUCGAGAGAAUAUGGUAGUAUUAAUGACGGUACGAUUGAUAAGUUCGCGGCUAAUCUAGCGUGCCAGCAGCCGCGGUAAUAGGGGGGGAGCAGGCGUGUGUUCGAAUUUACUGGGCGUAAAGGGGGCGUAGGCGGCGCAACAAGUCACUUGUGAAAUCUCCGGGCUUAACCCGGAGCGGCCAAGUGAUACUGUCGUGCUAGAGUGCGGAAGGGGCUACUGGAAUUCUCGGUGUAGCGGUGAAAUGCGUAGAUAUCGAGAGGAACACCUGCGGCGAAGGCGGGUAGCUGGGCCGACACUGACGCUGAGGCGCGAAAGCCAGGGGAGCACAACGGGAUUUAAGAUACCCCGGUAGUCCUGGCCCUAAACGAUGCUAUGCUUGGUGUGGCGGGUAUCGAUCCCUGCCGUGCCGAAGCUAACGCAUUAAGCAUUCCGCCUGGGGAGUACGGUCGCCAAGGACUGAAACUCAAAGGAAUUG
rnacentral:rRNA from 1 species